rnacentral:rRNA from 1 species
AAAGGAAUAGACGGGGACCCGCACAAGCGGUGGAGCAUGUGGUUUAAUUCGAAGCAACGCGAAGAACCUUACCAGGUCUUGACAUCCCGAUGACAGGAGAGUAAAAUCUUUUUUCCUACGGGACAUCGGUGACAGGUGGUGCAUGGUUGUCGUCAGCUCGUGUCGUGAGAUGUUGGGUUAAGUCCCGCAACGAGCGCAACCCUUAUUUUUAGUAGCCAGCGGUUCGGCCGGGCACUCUAGAGAGACUGCCAGGGAUAACCUGGAGGAAGGUGGGGAUGACGUCAAAUCAUCAUGCCCCUUAUGAUCUGGGCUACACACGUGCUACAAUGGCGUAAACAAAGGGAAGCAAACCUGUGAGGGGGAGCAAAUCCCAAAAAUAACGUCUCAGUUCGGAUUGUAGUCUGCAACUCGACUACAUGAAGCUGGAAUCGCUAGUAAUCGCGAAUCAGAAUGUCGCGGUGAAUACGUUCCCGGGUCUUGCACACACCGCCCGU